UACGAAGGGGGCUAGCGUUGCUCGGAAUUACUGGGCGUAAAGGGCGCGUAGGCGGGUCGUUAAGUUAGAGGUGAAAGCCCAGGGCUCAACCCUGGAAUUGCCUUUAAUACUGUCGAGCUUGAGUAUGGCAGAGGUGUGUGGAACUCCGAGUGUAGAGGUGAAAUUCGUAGAUAUUCGGAAGAACACCAGUGGCGAAGGCGACACACUGGGCCAUUACUGACGCUGAGGCGCGAAAGCGUGGGGAGCAAACAGG
rnacentral:rRNA from 1 species